GACGAACGCUGGCGGCGUGCUUAACACAUGCAAGUCGAACGGUGAAGCGCCUUCCUUUUUGGUGGGUGUGGAUGAGUGGCGAACGGGUGAGUAACACGUGAGUAACCUGCCCCCUUCUUCUGGAUAACCGCAUGACAGUGUGGCUAAUACGGGAUAUUCUGGGUCUGUCGCAUGAUGGGUCUGGGAAAGAUAUUGUUUCGGUGGGGGAUGGGCUCGCGGCCUAUCAGCUUGUUGGUGGGGUGAUGGCCUACCAAGGCGGUGACGGGUAGCCGGCCUGAGAGGGUGGACGGUCACACUGGGACUGAGACACGGCCCAGACUCCUAUGGGAGGCAGCAGUGGGGAAUAUUGCACAAUGGGCGCAAGCCUGAUGCAGCGACGCCGCGUGAGGGAUGGAGGCCUUCGGGUUGUGAACCUCUUUCGCCAGUGAAGCAGGCCUGCCUCGUUUGUGGGUGGGUUGACGGUAGCUGGAUAAGAAGCGCCGGCUAACUACGUG
rnacentral:rRNA from 1 species